rfam:Dichanthelium oligosanthes cultivar Kellogg 1175 unplaced genomic scaffold Do_version_2_scaffold938, whole genome shotgun sequence.
CCCCUUGAUGAUGAAGAAUUGGUGAUGUAUAUCUGCAAUGGUCUAGAUCCAGAGUUUAAUCCUUUAGUCUCUGCUCUUAUAACUAGGGUUGAACCUGUCACCCCCACUGAAUUGUACUCACAAUUACUAAGCUUUGAGA